CUCGUAGGCGGUUCGUCGCGUCCGGUGUGAAAGUCCAUCGCCUAACGGUGGAUCUGCGCCGGGUACGGGCGGGCUGGAGUGCGGUAGGGGAGACUGGAAUUCCCGGUGUAACGGUGGAAUGUCUAGAUAUCGGGAAGAACACCAAUGGCGAAGGCAGGUCUCUGGGCCGUUACUGACGCUGAGGAGCGAAAGCGUGGGGAGCGAACA
rnacentral:rRNA from 1 species